GCCCUCCUUCCCCCCGGCCGGCGAGAGGUGCUUCCCAGUGCGCAGGCGCGCGCGACCGCCGCCCGGGCCUCGGGCCAAUCAGGGAGGCCCGACGCCGCCACCCUCCCUUCGCUCGCGGCAGCCACGCCCACCCCUGGCGGCGUCUGGCUUCUUAAAGGGAUACUAGCCCUGCACAGGUGGGGUUCAGCGCUGGGUCCUGUCUAGGGAGGGAAGGAGGGAAGGAGGGGGCGGUGGCGACAACAAUGCAGCCAGGUGUCGCGGCCCCCGCGCAGGACGGCCGCCAGAUGAGCAAGAAAUUGCAAAGAUAGUACGGAGAGUUUUUCGUCCGCCUCCCCCAGCCUCCCCCAACGAUAACGUCUUCCGAAAACACCGUGUGUUACCCAAACCAGGAAAGCGAUGUUGGUACAGUACAAUCAACCCAGAUUUGCCAGAUGAGGCUCUUUGCAUGUUACCGUUCUAGUUGGCCCUCAUUUUCUGAUGCAGAAACACAGGCUUUGAGAUGGGAACCCACCUGAGUUUGGCAGAGGCGGAAGCUUAACCCAGGCUGGAGAAUAUUCUGUUGUGUGGAUGGGCCACCUUUUGCUUCUCUGCUCCUCCCUCGAUGGUCGCUUGGGUUGCUUCCAAGUCUUGGCUAUUCUGAAUAAUCCUGCUAUGAAAACAGGUGUACAAAUAGCUGUUUGAGACCAUGCUUUCAACUCUUUGGGAUGCUGAGCUGAAAUCUAGAUGUGUGCUGGGCCGUGAUCUCAUCUGGAGGCCCGACUGAGGAAGGACAUACUUCCAAAUGUGCUGAGGUCAUGGGCAGAAUUCAGUUCCUUGCGGUUGGAAGACCGAGGGCUUCAGCUUCUAGCUGGCUGUCAGCUAGAAGCCACCCUCCAGGACCCGUCACAGGAACUUUCUCAACAUGAACGCUCACUCUAUCCCAACCAGCGAGUGAGAGAGACAACUCACAUGCUGGAGACUGCAAUCCUAGGUAACCUAUUUACGGGAACAACUUCCUCCACUUCUGCUGUCUCCUGUUAGUUAGAAGCAAGUCACAGGUCUGAGCAACACUCGAAGAGAGGAGAUUAUACAAGGGCAUGAAUACCAGGAGGCGGGGAUUGGCAGGGGCACUCUAAGAGUCUGUCCACCACGGUACCUUUGAAAAAAUUCAUAAUAGGGGCACCUGCCUGACUCAGUUGGUGGACCAUGUGACUCUUGAUCUCAGGGUUGUGGGUUCAAGCCCCACAU